UGGCAUAGUGGUUAAAUGCUAUGGCUGUCAACCAAGAGGUCGGCAGUUCGAAUCUGCC
rnacentral:tRNA from 1 species